rnacentral:misc_RNA from 1 species
AACGCACCUUGCGCUCCUUGGUAUUCCGAGGAGCAUGCCUGUUUGAGUGUCAUUAACCUCUCAACCCCACCGGUUUUGCGACCGGCUGGCGGCUUGGACUUGGAGCGUGCUGGCGCAAGUCAGCUCCUCUUGAAAUGCAUUAGCGAGUUCACUUCUCUCGCGGUUGGUGUGAUAACUAUCUACGCCUGCAUGCCGUGUCUGUCGAGUGCUCGCUCACAGCCGUCCCUUGCGGACAACUUCAACCAUCGUGACCUCAAAUCAGGUAGGACUACCCGCUGAACUUAA